UUACGGCCAUAUCACGUUGAAACACCGGUUCUCGUACGAUCACCGAAGUUAAGCAACGUCGAGCCUGGUCAGUACCGCUUGGUAGUACCAGAUGCUG